UAACAGGUGUUUUGUAAAUAUGAUGAAUUUUGGGACUGAUUAUGAAACAAAUGAUUUGAUUUUAGCUUUAAUGUAAUAACAAGGAUUUAUUAUUAAAGAUGAACAUUUAGUGCUGUUUUUUAUAAUAAUUCAUGAGUGCUGUUGAGAAGAGCUGCUGUUGAGUCUGAUAUCAGUGUGUGAGUCUCUUCUCUCUUUCUCUGCUGGAGUUUGUGUUUAUUUGAGUGUGACGGAGGUUUUUGUUCGACGCUUUCACUAGAAUGAAGCACUGUGGUACACUUUUGGUGGAGGAACUAAACUGACCAUCAGAACUGGUCCCGCAGUGAAGCCCUCCGUGUCUCUGCUGCCUCCCUCUUCUCUGCAGAUCUCUGGAGACUCAGCCGCACUGCUCUGUCUGCUCAGCUCUUACUCUCCACAGGGGGCGCAGGUGAGCUGGACGCUGGACGGGUCAGAGGUCACCGAGGGGGUUCAGACCAGCGCAGAGAGCGAGCGGGACGGACGCUACAGCCGCAGCAGCGUCCUGAGCCUCAGCAAAGCACGCUGGGAAGCCGGCGAGCGCUUCGUCUGCAGAGUAACACAUGACGGAGCUGAUCACGAGACCUCGUUCCUCAAGAGCUCCGAGUGCUGAUGUUUCUCCAGUGAAGAGCAGCAGGAUUCACAGCAGUCUCCUGAUUUACAGCUCAAUACUCAAGCAGUCUUUCAAUGUGCUGCCAUUGCUGUUCAUUCAAUAAAGCUUCUGAACGCCUUA